rnacentral:lncRNA from 1 species
AAUUCCCCUCGGGCCUGGCUACACAUCUCUCUUAUCCCCCACCUCUCCUUCUCCAACUCCGGCCGCCGCCACGGCCAGGCCGGCGUGGUGGUGCGCCUCCGCAGCCCAUCCAUCCACCAGCACCACCAUCACACGACCACUCCACAACCAGCGCCACCCAACCACCCAUCCUCGCCAUCUCCAUCACCCGCCGCUGCAUCAUCACCAAUCAGCCACCGCCGCGCCAUCACCAGCACCUCCAUACACCACCAUCCAUCAGCGCCACCAUCUGCAGCUACCGCUGCAUCUCGCGUGCUCGACCAGACAAGAGGGUCACGGGCAUCUGGUCCUCCGUGUUAGCGCCCCCGUGUUGUUGAUGUUCUUCUCCUUUCCCCCUUGCUGCUUCUUCCCUUCACGCUGAUGCUGCUGCCUUCCUUGCACCCCCUUGCUGCUACUACGAUCUGAACCCUCCUUGCUUUUGCUCUUCCCUCGUCCCAGCCUGCUGCUCUCUCAAUCUCUGCUGCUGCUAUUCUCUAAGCCCCCCACGCUGCUGGCGUUCCUCUUCUUUCCCACGUCUAUGCUGCUUUCUUCUCCCCAAAACUGCUGCUGUACCUUCUCCCUAAUUCCCCUCUUCUCCUAACCUUGUUGCUGUACUUUUCUGAACCCCUACUACUGUUGUUUCCCUCAUUAUCUUUCUCUGAAUUUUCUGUAAGCUGAGAUGUGUAAUGCUUUGUAAUGUUCAGAUUUGAGUAGUGCUUGACACUUGUUCAGUUUCAGACUUGUCCUUGAUUAAUAGUACUUGUGUUGUUCAUCUCAGAGUACUAGAAUUAUGUCUUGUAACCUCCCCCUAUUUGCAUAUGUGUGAUGUGUGUUCUGUAGUGUUUUUGUUAACUUUGUUCAUGUGAAAACAUAUAUGUUUGUGUUGUGAUAUAUUUUUGUCCCUAUCAUAUUAGCUUGUUUCUUUCCUUCUGUCAUUGCUAGUUAUAUAUGUGUGAGUGUUUGUGUUGUGAGAGUUGUACUGUUACAUUGUGAUUCUCAUUUAAAAUGUAAGAGUACUAGCUAUAUACUCCCUCCAUUCCUAAAUAUAGGGUGUAUAGUUUUUGGCACGGAAUUAAAGAACGCACGUGGAGGGAAAAUUUCACAAGUUCUGGGCGAGAUUACACCUGACUAAUUGACAUGAAUAAAAAGAGAAAUGUAAUCAAAUCCCUAAAAAAUUAAUCCAAACGAGUGGUGCAACGCAAUGCACCUUAUAUUUCGGAUUUUUUCUCAGAAAUCUAUACACCUUAUAUCAAGGAACGGAGGGAGUAUGUCAUAUAUAUUCUAUUCAUGUAUGAUAGUUAUGUGUUCUUGUCUAGUAGGUUUCCCUAAUAUUGAUUCUCGUUUGUGUUAGUGUUUUAAUCCCUCAAGCCUAAUAAAAAUACCAAAAAGACAAUGAGUAAAAUCUGAAUUUCCCCUUGCUGUUUACCCUUUCUUUGUCGUCAACCUUAGCUAGUUUAGGUUAUUAUUUUCUUGGAAUCCUCUCUUAAAAUUUUGUCACCUAGCUUUAGCUGAGCAUUGCUGCUGUCGCCUAGUCCCUGUGGAGAACACGACAUCCGUAGUUUGGGGCGUAAAAAACCCUGCUAUAUUACAACUGAUCAUUUUGGCGCCGUUGUCGAGGACCAGCGUCGAGCGUUUGUGUGAGGCUUUAGACUAGGUUUAGCUUGUUUCCUUUUUGUGCUUUAUAUAUUUGUGAUAUAUCUCUAGCCACUAACCCCUGUUCUAGUUAGUAUCUUUUUGUCUUCUUUUCCUUUUUGCAGGUUGGAUUAUCCUCUCGGUUAUGGCUUACUAUUCAGAUCAUCAUGCUUAUGCGAGCAACACUACAAACAGCACGGAAAGUGUUCAAGAACUGAUAGGUAAGAUUUCCCAUCGAUUAGAUGAUUUAGCUCGGCAGCGAGAAGGAGUUUUUGAGGAUAGGCCUAGUUCUUACGAUCCUUAUUCCAGUGGCCAUCCUUAUGUUGCUCCUACUUGCCAUAUUUGUGGAUUUCAGGGCCAUUCACCCGCUGAAUGUCAGUGUGGCUACUCUCACACUCCGGAUUGUUUUGGCAUGAGCUUCGCUCAAGAGCAUAGCUCAUACCAAAACAAUUACUCACAUGGGUGGCCUGAAAUCCCGAAUAUGUCAUAUAGGAGCAACAACCCUGAGAUCUCACAGUUUGGUUCUAGUAAUCAUAUGCAGGGAUUUAGGUACAAUGAGGAGAGCCACAACUAUGCACCACAACAAUUCCAUUCAGCUCCUACUCAUAUACCACAGCACCAGGAGAUGUGUCCAAUGGAGUUAAAUGGUCCUCCAUUUGGUCAACCAACAACUCCAGCACCUGUUGUGCAAUCUCAUGUGCAAGUGCCCACACAAGAUGAGUUCGAUGACAUAGACAAGCUCACACUUUUGAGUCUCGAGUUCACUUGGAGUGCCGAGGAUGAUCCUAUUAGGAAGGUGAUACUUGAGGAAAUGAAGAAGAUUAAGAGUGGAAAAGAGCUAGUGGAAGAAGUAAGGAAGAUUGAGAAGAACAUCAACGCUGGCAGCACUAUUUCUUCACAGCUAGAGCUGAGUGUUGCUGAGAUAUCCAUUGAUACAUGUGAGGUACCAACACCUUCACAUUCAGCUGAGCAAGAUAGCGAGAGUCCAGAGGAAGAGAUACUUCAGAUCCAAGAAGAAAUUCUCGAAGCCAAGGCACAAGAUGAUCUAGAGCUCGAACAACAAAGUGAUCAAGUUGAAGACUCAUCAUCUACUACUCCUGAAGAAGUACAAGAAGCUGUUGUAGAUGAAGAUGAAGAACAUGAGAUUCAUUUGCCUAUUGUCAUACCAGAGCGUGAUGUGUCAGGUUUACUCAAUCCUCUUGAUGACAUUAUGCCUUGUGAUUUCUUUGCUACUACCUUGCAUUACAUGAUACCAUCACUUAAGAUUGAUUUGAAAACUCAUUUGCUUGGAUAUGAUGAUAUAUACCCUGUUAGUGGCAUUACUCUCAUUUGUGAUGACCAUAGUUACUUUCCUCGCGCUAAUCCUAUGCUUAAUGAAACAUAUCACUCCCAUGCUAGUCUUGAGCUUAAUGAUAAAUAUCAUCCUCAUGUUAGUGUUGACCUUGCUGAUUUCUACCAUCCUAAACAUGUGCUUUAUAGCUAUGCUUAUGUAAUUGGAUACUCUAUCGAUGACUAAGAGGGCAUUCUCUCUGUCACUUGUAUUGGCUUGGUUGUUGAGUGUUCUUUCAGGUUGAUGCUUGUGUACCAUUUACUACGAGUUGACCGAGUUCGAGAUGACAUUCCCUGGGAUCCUGGUGGACUCAGAGCAUGGGGAUGAGGAGAAGCAAGGGGGCACACACGAGGAAGGGAGAAGCUGGAGUAGGCAUGAGGAUAGAGAAGCAAAAGGAGAGGAGCUGCAGUUGGUGAGGUGAUCGAGCGAGUGCUACUUCCUAUGAAAACCCGGUGAGCUGUUUCAUGACCCAUUCCUAGUAUAUCAUCCAUUGAUACAUGCUGAAAUCAAAUGUUAUUUGGGUUGCUUAAGCCAUGUCUUAAAUGUUGCCCCACUGAAUUUUACUUGAAAUAUGGUGCUUGAUGAGAAUAUGUGAACUGAGCGUUGAAUGCCUGGUAAACUAGUGAUCUAUACAAUGCUUGCUUUGCUGAAAGUAGUGGAAGUUAUUAGUUUUGAGUGCUCAAAUCCCUAGUAUACUAGAAAACUUAAUCAUUUUCUGCUUUUACCUCGAUACACCUAGAUCACCACGUUUAGAUUCUGAAUUUGUGCUAAGUGUGUUCCCAUUGAGAGCAAUCACCUAACCACUAUGGAUUAGCAUGCUAUGUUCCCUGGAUCGGUAGCAUGUGAACCAGACAUGGAGAAGUGAUGAUUCCUGUUUUUGUGCUUAUGUGUUGUUCAUUUAAGAUAAGUAAUAUUGAAUAAAUAAGUCUGACUACCUACAGUAGCAUGUCAUGUUCCCGGGAUCGGUGGCAUGUGAAAUCGGGUUAGCUUGGGCAGUAAUUAAUAAUAAAAAAAUGUAAUUGUCGAACCAGGUGUAUACCAUGUUCUCGGGAUCGGUGGUAUGUUCCUUUGGGGAGACAAACAAAAAAACUAAUAAUUGGUCGAGCCAGGUGUAUACCAUGUUCUCGGGAUCGGUGGUAUGUUCCUAUGGUGAGACUAAUAAUAAUAUAAUCAUUGCUUUAUCUCUGUAAAUAAGUGAUUUGAUCACAAGAUUUAAUUCCAGUUCAUUUUGUUCUUGGGAUCAUGCUCUCUUUAGGAACCAUUUGGCGCAGUCAUCAUUUAAACUUGUUGAUCCUCUUUUAUCUCUGUAAAAGUUUAAAAUGGUCAUGCUUACUAGUAUCCUACUGCUUUGUAGCACUCCUAACCAUUAAUUUUCACUAGCUAAGUCUGAAGCAUGCCUUGUUUGGAGAUCUAUUUUACCAGGACAUUCCUUACUCAGUUUACUGUUCAUUAUCUUGCCUUUAUCAUAUUCCUUUGCUUGAGGACAAGCAAAGAUUUAAGUGUGGGGGAACUUGAUAAGUGCAUUUCAUAUAUAUAAUUUGGCACUCAAAUUUAGCAUCUAUCGUGAUAUAUCCAUCCAUUCUUGCUAUGAGUUGUGAUAUAUUUGAAUGAAAAUCAUAUAAAAGAUCAUUUACUUGUCAUUUGUUUCUUUUGCAGAAAAGUGCGCAAGGCACUAUAAUCGUCAAGAUUUUUACUAUGUGGCUAACGAGACGAGAGAAGGGCUUGUGUGUGACGACAAGAAGUAACCAAAGGGGCUAACUAUAGAAGAGAGGGGAUCUACUUGGGAAGGAAGAAGAUAGUAGGAGGGCCCAUGUGCAAACAUCAAAAUCUGCUGUGAGGGGAUCAAACUCCCUAGGUCACUACACAAUUCCCCUCGGGCCUGGCUACACAUCUCUCUUCUCCCCCACCUCUCCUUCUCCAACUCCGGCCGCCGCCACGUCCAGGCCAGCGUGGUGGUGCGCCUUCGCAGCACAUCCAUCCACCAGCACCACCAUCACACGACCACUCCACAACCAGCGCCACCCAGCCACCCAUGCUCACCAUCUCCAUCACCCGCCGCUGCAUCAUCACCAAUCAGCCACUGCUGCACCAUCACCAGCACCUCCAUACACCACCAUCCAUCAGCGCCACCAUCUACAGCUACCGCUGCAUCUCGCGUGCUCGACCAGACAAGAGGGUCACGGGCAUCUGGUCCUCCGCGUUAGCGCCCCCGUGAUGUUGAUGUUCUUCUCCUUUCCCCCCUGCUGCUUCUUCCCUUCACGCUGCUGCUGCUGCCUUCCUUGCACCCCCUUGCUGCUGCUACGAUCUGAACCCUCCUUGCUUUUGCUCUUCCCUCGUCCUAGCCUGCUGCUCUCUCAAUCUCUGCUGCUGCUAUUCUCUAAGCCCCCCACGCUGCUGCUGUUCCUCUUCUUUCCCACGUCUCUCCUGCUUUCUUCUCCCCAAAACUGCUGCUAUACCUUCUCCCUAAUUCCCCUCUUCUCCUAACCUCGUUGUUGUACUUUUCUGAACCCCUACUACUCCUGUUUCCCUCAUUAUCUUUCUCUGAAUUUUCUGUAAGCUGAGAUGUGUAAUGCUUUGUAAUGUUCAGAUUUGAGUAGUGCUUGACACUUGUUCAGUUUCAGACUUGUCCUUGAUUAAUAGUACUUGUGUUGUUCAUCUCAGAGUACUAGAAUUAUGUCUUGUAACCUCCCCCUGUUUGCAUAUGUGUGAUGUGUGUUCUGUAGUGUUUUUGUUAACUUUGUUCAUGUGAAAACAUAUAUGUUUGUGUUGUGAUAUAUUUUUGUCCCUAUCAUAUUAGCUUGUUUCUUUCCUUCUGUCAUUGCUAGUUAUAUAUGUGUGAGUGUUUGUGUUGUGAGAGUUGUACUGUUACAUUGUGAUUCUCAUUUAAAAUGUAAGAGUACUAGCUAUAUAUGUCAUAUAUAUUCUGUUCAUGUAUGAUAGUUAUAUGUGUUCUUG